UACGUAGGGGGCGAGCGUUGUCCGGAUUUAUUGGGCGUAAAGAGCUCGUAGGCGGUUCGGUAAGUCGGGUGUGAAACCUCCAGGCUCAACCUGGAGACGCCACCCGAUACUGCUGUGACUAGAGUCCGGUAGGGGAGCGUGGAAUUCCUGGUGUAGCGGUGAAAUGCGCAGAUAUCAGGAGGAACACCGAUGGCGAAGGCAGGUCUCUGGGCAUUAACUGACGCUGAGGAGCGAAAGCAUGGGGAGCGAGCAGG
rnacentral:rRNA from 1 species